AAACCAUGGUAUGGACACUUGCGCAACAUCAACUUAAAGUGCUCCCAUGCCUUAUAUAAUGACUCUCCUUCCAAUUGUUGAAAAUUCGUAAUAUCCAUAUGAAGUUU
rfam:Gossypium arboreum cultivar AKA8401 contig_3324_1, whole genome shotgun sequence.